GAUGAACGCUGGCGGCGUGCCUAAUACAUGCAAGUCGACCGAUAAAAGGCGUGCGUGCGCCGACGAGUGUCGGCGGGGGGGGGGUGGGAACCGCGUGUAUACCCACCUGUGAGAACUGGCAAACCUAGGGGAACCCGUACCGAAUACGGGUUAAUGAUUGAAGCGGGUGGUUUAACAGGUAAAGUUGGCUUUUCUUGUUCUUAUAGGACGAUUCCGGGCCGCAUUAGCUAGUUGGUAAGGUACCGGCUUACCAAGGCAACGAUGCGUAGCCGACCUGAGAGGGUGAUCGGCCACACUGGAACUGAGACACGGUCCAGACUCCUACGGGAGGCAGCAGUAGGGAAUCUUCCGCAAUGGGCGAAAGCCUGACGGAGCAACGCCGCGUGAGUGAUGAAGGUCUUCGGAUCGUAAAACUCUGUUAUUAGGGAAGAACAAAUGUGUAAGUAACUAUGCACGUCUUGACGGUACCUAAUCAGAAAGCCACGGCUAACUACGUG
rnacentral:rRNA from 1 species